rnacentral:lncRNA from 1 species
UCAAAACCACAAUACUUCCAAAAUUGACAUAAACAAUUGAGUUUGGUGGCUUGCAGUUUAGCCAUUGGAGACAGUCUCUUUCCUCCUUCCAAAGACUGUAUCCCAUAGGUUUCAAAGGGUCUUCUGGUAUUUGAUUUAGCAUUAAUUGGAGAGGACCAAUUGAAUAAAUUGGUGGAGAAACAGAUGAGGAGAGAGCUUCCAGAGCAUCUUUUUCCAAAGCAUCAAAUGUGAGAAGAAGAACAGCUGAAGUUUUAUUUGCGUUUUCCGCUGCUUCCAUGGUGAUGUUGAAGAGGAUGUCGUCUGGAUCUGUAGUUCGACAAAAAGUAGGCAGAUACUUCAAACAAAUAUCUUUCUUUCCUGGAAUCCAUUCUAUUGUGUUGUCUAGAANNNNNNNNNNNNNNNNNNNNNNNNNNNNNNNNNNNNNNNNNNNNNNNNNNNNNNNNNNNNNNNNNNNNNNNNNNNNNNNNNNNNNNNNNNNNNNNNNNNNNNNNNNNNNNNNNNNNNNNNNNNNNNNNNNNNNNNNNNNNNNNNNNNNNNNNNNNNNNNNGCAUCUUCAUCUGAUUCUGGAAGGCCAUCAGGAAUGGCUUCAAAGCGAAAAUCAGGUAAGCCAUCGAGGGAGUUGGGUCCUUGAGAUUUAAGAAAUCGCUUGUGGUUGAAUUCAGUGUUGACAAAGGUUAUGUGAAAGCCUCUGUGGUGGAGGGUUUUGGCAAACUGAAGAAAACUCUUGAUGUGACUCUGAGCUGGAGCUGGAAUACAAACAGCAUGAGGCUUGUGAUCACAACCAACAUCCAUUUAAAUUGUUGUGUUUGCUAAAACUAAGGGUGUAUCUUUGCCUACAUGAUGCUGCCAUGCUGGUUACUUAUAGGGAGUGGCACUGGCUUGCUGUUGUUGAAUUGUCGGUGGUAUAGCAAUGGUACAGUAGUGGUUGAUUGGCUUGCUGUUGUUGAAUUGUCGGUGGUAUAGCAAUGGUACAGUACUGGUUGAUUUUUGUGGAAUUUUCGUAUACACCUAAUUUUGGAGAGUGGUUUUAAAUAAAACAUACUUAAUAUUCUUAUCUAAGAGACAUCUAAAAUGUAUUAAUUAUGAUAAAUAUUAUGUUCUAUUUUUUCUAAAUUUUACACAAUUGUCAUCAUUCAACUACAACAUAUAAUUAUAAUAAAUAAGCUUAAUUGAUGUUGUCUUAAAUACCUUAAUUAUGAGUUUUUCUUCUAACACUAACAUUUUUCAAUCAAUUUGUAAGAAUCAUGUAGUUUUCUUUAUUUUUAUAAAAAAAAAUCUAGAUUAAAGUAAUUUAUUCUCUAAUCUAUACAUAAGGUAAAAUAUAAUAUGAAUAAGAUAUCUGAUCUAAACCCUAAACCCUAAACCCUAAACCCUAAACCCUAAACCCUAAACCCUAUAUGACACGACCCACCCCAAAUUUCACCCUGAAACCCAGAGUAAGUCGUGCGGGGACCACCUCCAAGGAAAAUUUACCGAAAAAUCGGCAUAACCUCCCUUGAAAAAUGGACAACCCUUCCUAAUAAAACCUGCAAACACUUCUGAAAAUUUAAAUCCAACCUUAAACUCCUGGAGCCUCCGUGCUCCCCAAAUCACAACACCACCCAAAUUAUUUACUAAUCUAAACCAAUCUCAUAUCCAAUCAUUUAUAGGUUCAGAGCAACUCUAACAGGAAGAAAGGAAACAAAAUAAAUUAACAAGCGGAAGCUAUAAGAUGACUAUGCCUCAUCCCUAUGUACGCCCAACCUCGACUAAGCUAACCUGCAAGCUGGGCAUUUUUAAAACGAAAGGCACAUGGGAAAACAUUUAUUAACGUUAGAGUGAGUGGACAAAAAUAAAUUAAUAAAAAUAAUUAUGCUUCCCCAUUUUAAUUUCUAAAGAAAAUAUACUGCAUGCGGCAGCUCGAAAACGCUUAACACAAAAACUGGCAAUUUCAUGACUAGCUCCGACUAGUCUCCAUAACACAAAGAAAUAACAGCCUCUCAGGCUAAACUAUAUAUAAACAUAUAUAAGUGUAUGUAUUUACACUCGUCAGACUCCUUGUAUGAAUUCUAAGAACAAAUUAGAAAAAUAGAAAUUCAUACAAGGCUACUACGCUUGCGUCUAACGCUCACGUCACACCAUAAUGGAAUUGUACCUCAGUAUGGCGGAAAAAGCACGAGUGUAUAUACGUGUGGACUCCCUAUAUGAAAACCUAAAUAAACCAAAUAAGAAAAUAGUUUUCAUAUAGGGCUACUACGCUCGUGUCUAACACUCACGUCACACCAUAAUGGUAUUUUACCUCAUUAUGGCGGAUCAAACACGUAUGGUUAGCUAGCAUUUACAUAUACAUACUAUCAUCAUAAACAUCCCAUAAACAUAUCCACCGAAAAUCUCAUUUCCGGGAACUCUCCAAAGGAGGAAAAAUUGCCAAAUAUCCAAGAAAGAAAUAAAUCUCAGCAAGAGAAAUAAAUAAUCAACAAAUUAUUUCAUCGCAUUCUUUUCAAUUAAAACAAAGGUCCACUCACAACUCUAGGCAUAAGCCCGACGAAAUCCAAAUCGCCACUCUAAUGAGGUUUCCUCGAACCCUGGCACAAAUAUAUAAUUAAAUUCCCAACUAAAGUCCAAUAUUUAAACAAAAUAGGCAAAAUUAACCGAGAGCCAUAACUACGCUCAUCAUUGCCUAACUUCGAUAUUCUUAAAUCGAAACGAUCCGAAUUUAAAUAUCAUACUCGGCAGCCGUAAUUACAACCUCCCUAAAAAUACGACUUAAAUCCUACGGCCGGAUUCUACAUUAAUUAACCGCCAAAAAUACCACACUUCAGAAAUUCAUAAACCUAUCCAAAACUCAUCCAAAAAUUCCAUAACUCACUUCAACAAACUCCCCUUAAUAUUCUAAAUUUAAAACCCUAAAAAUCUUCCAAACAGUGGCGGCGCCGGUGGCGGCUCCGCCGGCAGCGGCGGCCGGAGCCGAUUCCGGUGACCUCCAAUGCUCACCAAAUUUAAACAGCAGCUUCCUCUCAACCUACUCUACAACUUUCAUAACUAGCACUAAGUCCAAUUUCAAGCCUAAAUAGGGUAAUCGAAUCAAAACAUCCAAAAAUCACCCAAUUCAAACCCUAGCCCGAAAAUCCUCUUACACACUUCAAAUUGGAUCAUUACCUUCUAGGGAAAUGCUACACACGGAGAGCACUUCCAAAUGGAACUGAAAUCAUCAGAAAUGGUGGCCGGAAGAGCGAGUUCCGGUGUCGGGACUCCACCACGCAGCCGAAGCUUCCGGGUGAGCUCCCUCCUUCACGGCGGCGCUAGGGUAGCUCUCACCGGUCCAAGAAGAAAGCUGGGUCGACGGCCGACCGUUUGGGACCGGUGCGCCGGUCUAUGGUGGCCGGACGGCCGAGAAGAAUUCCGGCAGCGAGAGAGAGUCGGGGAGAGGAGAGAAGAGAAAGAGAAGGAAAAAGAUAGGAAGGGAAUUGGGCCUCCCAACCGGUCCAACCCAUUAUAACCACACCAACUCCAAAAAUAAAACACCCCAAAAAAAUACUCCAAUAAAAAUUACCUUUUACUAGCUAAAAUUUACUAUUUUUACCGUCGUCAAAUUUUUCUCCUACGAAUAAUUCUCCGAAAAUAUCAACCCUCAAAACCCCUCUAAGGACCAAUUAAACCAUAACUCAUUGACGGAGACGAUAAAAUUCUUAUUAAUACCAAGCUAGUAAAUAAGGUAAAAAUUUAAAGGUCGGGAUGUGACACUAUACCCUAUACCCUAAACCCUAUACCUUAACCCUAUACCCUAAACCUAAUUUUGGGUUUCUUCUUUUUAGGUAUAUUAUCAUAUCAUGCCCUAUUUAAUAGGUACAUUAGAAACAUAAGUAGUAGAGAGUAAAAUGUUCUCUCGCUUAGGAUGAGAAAUGGUAUAAUAAUAUACCUAAAAAGAAGAAAAUUAAUCAAAGAAUAAGAACAUGUAUCUUACAAUUAGACAUUUUUCGACUAUGUAGAGAGACACCAAAUGUGAACUUAGGAAUGAAAAAUAUCAUCAUAUUAUAAAUGACAUACUUGUAGGAAUGAAAAGUAUCAUCAUAUAGCAUAUAUAUAUAUAUAUAUAUAUAGAUUUUCUCAGCUGCGGAUGUCAACAUUUAUUCUUACGGUGCGGAUUUCCACUUUACACUCACUUUUCAAUCGAAUUUUCACAUCUCCACCGUCUAGUAUUUAGAUACUAAUGUAUAGAUCAUCUCUGAAAAAUUUCAACCAAUUUGAUUAUCAUUAAGGCACUCAAACUCGAUUAAACCAAUGGAUGAACAUAAUUUUGUCGAACUUGAACCGUUCAUGUUUAUAACAGAAAAACGCAGUUUUGAGUGCCUUAAUGAUAACCAAAUUUGCUGAAAUUUUGCAGAGAUGAUCUAUACAUUAGUAUCUAAAUACUAGACGGUAGAGAUAUGAAAAUUCGAUUGAAAAGUGAAUGAAAAGUGAAAAUCCGCACCAUAAGAAUAAAUGCGGACGUGUGUAGCAGAGAAGACCUGUAUAUAUAUAUAUAUACACACUUAAGUUAGUAAUAACAAGGUAAGAAAUUAAAGAAUGUAAUUAAUUAUGACAAAGUUAAAUCCAACUAAAUUUUAGCUAGUAUUUGAGUUAACGUUCAAAUUGAUGCUAAAAUUGAGAAAUAUACAAAAUUUAGUUUUCUAGUGUCUGAAUGGCAAAUUAGAGAAACCGAAAAAUAAAGAAAACUAUUAAUUAUAGAUAUUUGCUCUAUAUAGUAUGUUUGCUUAUGUGGAGUGGGUGUAAAAUAAAAAGAAAAAUAUGUAUGGGUUUAUCUUAAAAGAGGUCUAAUAUUUUAGGUUUUUAUCUAAUUUUCUCUUGAUUUUUUUAUUUUUUAAAUUUUUUUGGGAAUAUCGAUAUGAGGAUGCUGUAAAUAAUUACACAUUCAUGACUGUAGGGUUUUCUGGUGGACUAUAACUGCAGUGGGAGUAUAUGAUGGUAGAUGACCAUUGAAUUUAAGAUGUAGGGCUUCUUAACAAGAAAAUCGCUGAAUUUUAUGUACUAAAUUAACGGAUUUCUAGCUUAAAUGAAGGAUGAAUGAUUUCCCUCUUUCAAGUAUUGCCUUUGAUUUACUUUCAGUAGCUUGUUUUAAUCUGUCUUCUGCUAUAUAUGAUUCCAUGGUUUAUUGAAAGUUCAUUGCAAAAAAGGUAAAAGAAGCAAGAAACUCUUGAAGACUACAUUGUGAAUUUCAUUGAUAGAAGAAAAUGAGGUUACAAGAAAUAUAUAUAGGUCUAGACAGGGCUAUGAUGUAGAAUGAUAAGAGUUCCCUUAUAAUAAACCUAACACCUAUUAUUAAACUCUUAACAUCUUCCUUCUUUAGUUUUGAUAUAUUUCUCAGGUUCAGAGAAUAUCUAUUCUUUGUGAUCAUAAAACUCCAAAUUGAUGCAGUGAAUGAACAAGAGAGGAAAGUAUGAUUCAAAGUCUCAAAGCAAACACCAAAAAGCUCACAUUUAGAAACCUAAGUUAUACCUUAACGUUGAAGUAAAUCAUCAGAAAUAACUCUACCUCUUAACACCUUCCAUGCCAGGGACUUCAUCAAUUGUUAGAAACAAACACUUGAUUGAUUUUUGCUUUGUGAUUGGCCACAUAAUGCAGCAUAGAGCUUAAUUUAUAGGGGUAUGUGAUAGUUUAUAACUUUAUGUGGCAGUUUACUAUACUAUCUUUAUGUCUCGUAUUGAUGCUAUAUAUUACUAAUGUUUACAAGUCCAAACUAUCAAUAAUCUAUCUUCCUUUCAUAUAUAUUGCAAAUAUUGAUCAAGAAUGGAAUAUGAAACUUUCUUUAGUUUGGAGCAUUUUCAGAGUUUCGAUCAGAUUUAUAAUUCUAAUGGUACGUACUGUUUACAGAGAUUGGCCUAAAAAAUCUAUCCUAGCCUUUUAGCGUUCCAAACAUAUUAGAGCUAGAGAUUUCUCUUUGCAUGCAUGUAGCUCGAUCUGUCACAUCCCGACCUUUAUAUUUUUACCUUAUUUACUAGCCUGAUUAUAAUAAGAAUUUUACCGUCUCCGUCAUUGAGUUAAUAGUUAAUUGGUCCCUAGAGGGGUUUCGGGGACGAUUAUGUGCGGAGGAUUAUUCGUAUGAGGAAAAUACGACGACGGUAAAAAUAGUAAAUUUUAGCUAGUAAAAGGUAAUUUUUAUUCGGGUAUUAUUUUUUCGGGGUGUUUUAUUUUUUUGUGGGAGUUGGGUAUAAGGGGGAGUUGGACCGGUUGGAGAGGCCCAACCCUUUUCCCUCUCUUCUCUCCCGUUUUUCCCUUUUCUUCCCCCCCCCNNNNNNNNNNNNNNNNNNNNNNNNNNNNNNNNNNNNNNNNNNNNNNNNNNNNNNNNNNNNNNNNNNNNNNNNNNNNNNNNNNNNNNNNNNNNNNNNNNNNNNNNNNNNNNNNNNNNNNNNNNNNNNNNNNNNNNNNNNNNNNNNNNNNNNNNNNNNNNNNNNNNNNNNNNNNNNNNNNNNNNNNNNNNNNNNNNNNNNNNNNNNNNNNNNNNNNNNNNNNNNNNNNNNNNNNNNNNNNNNNNNNNNNNNNNNNNNNNNNNNNNNNNNNNNNNNNNNNNNNNNNNNNNNNNNNNNNNNNNNNNNNNNNNNNNNNNNNNNNNNNNNNNNNNNNNNNNNNNNNNNNNNNNNNNNNNNNNNNNNNNNNNNNNNNNNNNNNNNNNNNNNNNNNNNNNNNNNNNNNNNNNNNNNNNNNNNNNNNNNNAUUUCUCUUGGAGAGUUACCGAAAUGGGAUUUCGGUGGAUAUAAUAUGUAUUUAUGAGAGAGUAUGUAUAUAAAUGCUAGUUAGCCAUAUGUGUCUGUCCACCUUAAUGGCGUAGCAUAUAGCCGCAUUAUGGUGUGACGUGAGCGUUGGACGUAAGCGUAGUAGCCCUAUUUGAGUGUGUAAUUCAUAUAGGGGGUAUGGACACAUAUUUAUACACCCGUCUGUCCACCUUAAUGGCGUAGUGUAGCACCGCAUUAAGGCGUGACGUGAGCGUUGGACACGAGCGUAGUAGCCCUAUAUAGACCCAUGAAUUUAUAUAUGGAGUAUGGACGAGUGUAAAUACAUACAUAUAUUAUAGAGUCUGAGAGGCUCGAUAUUUUAUGAGAUAAAAGUUUUAUCGCUUGCGGCAUGCAUUCGAUUUUUCCUUAGAAAUUAAUUUGGGGAAACAUAAAUAUUUUAUUUAUUAUUUUAUUUUUUGUCUACUCACUCUAACGUUAUUAAAUGUUUUCCCCUGGGCCCUUCGUUUUAAAUUGCCCAGUCUGCAGAGUUCGGGUUGGAUCUAGUAGGAGGCGAGGCAUAGUCACCCGCAUUUCUGCCAGUUUUAGUCAGUAGGUUACCUGUUCAACCUACUCGUGUUUUCUUGCUUCCGCUAGUGUUUAGUAGCUCUGAAUACUUUGGGAUUAUUGUAUAUUAUGUGUAGAAUUUCUGAAGGAUAAUUAUGUGAUGUUUGGAAGUGCUAAAUUAAGAGUGUAAUUUGGAAUUUUCGAGUUAGGGUUGUCCAUCUGCAAGGGAGAUUUUCUUAAUCUUUUCAGUAAAUUUUCCUUGGAGGUGGUCCCCGCACGACUUACUCCGGGUUUCAGGGUGAAAUUUGGGGUGGGUCGUGUCACGAUCUCUCUGCCUUUUUGUACAUACAUAUACAGCUACGUACUAUCUAUCACAUAUGGAACCGAAAUGUAAAAGCAAAACCUAAAAUGACCUCAUCAAUUGGAACUUGGAAGGUUAUAUAUGAAGAUGGUAGCAAGUCGAGGUUAGCACGUACAGCUGAACUUCAAUUUGGUUUUGGUCAUGAUAGCUAGCUCUUAGAAAAGUAUGUUUUAUCUAUCUUGCUAGUAGACAGUAAUUUAGAACCUAUUCAUACUCUUUGGUCCUUUUUCAUAGCAAAACAAAUACGACUAAUUACUAGCCAUGCAAUUUGUCAAUAGUAUCUUCAAAAUUUCAAGGAUAUAUGCAAAUUCAUAUGAUCAUACCCUCAAUAUUAAAAUUUCCCGAGCACAUCUGUCCUAAUUAUCAAAACUUUGAAGAAAUGUAAUUAUGAUCUUUAUAAGAAUUAAUUACAAAACACCACCCGAACUAUGAUGUUAUUUUCAUUUUCAUAUCUAACUAUUAAAAACUUAUAUUUUCAUACCCGAAGUUUCAUUUCAUUAGCAUUUUGAUACCCUGACCACUAACACCAUUAAAUUUUGAGGGCAUUUUCAUCAUUUCAAUAAAUGUAUCAUUUUUUACAUUUACUUCAAAAAAUUAAUUUAUUUUUUGAGGUUAUCAAAUACAAAUAGAACAAUUUACUUUAGCAAAAAUAUUAAAAAAAACUCCAAAAUUAAAUAUUUAUUUUUGCAGCAAUAGUGAUAAAAGUUAGUAGAACUCUUGUAUGUAUAUAUAUUUUUGGAGUUACAUGUUAAACAAAACAAAAUAAUAUAAAUUAAAAUAAAUCAUAUCGAGAAAAUAUCGAAUAUCGAUAGAAAUUUUAUCAUAUUUUAUAUAAACAUGGUAUAUUUAACCAAAAUAUACACGGUAGAUUAAACAUGUUUAUAUAAAAUAUGAUAAAAUUUUCAUCGAUUUUCUCAAUAUAAUUUAUUUUUUAAUUAUAUAUUUUAAUUUAUUUUAUUUUGUUUUGCUUAACAUGUAACUCCAAAUAUAUAUAUAUAUAUAUAUAUAUACACACACACNNNNNNNNNNNNNNNNNNNNNNNNNNNNNNNNNNNNNNNNNNNNNNNNNNAGGCAGAGACCGGGAGAGGGAGGGAGGGAGGAGGGAGGAGGCGGAGACCGGGAGAGGGAGAGGGCGACUGGGAGACCGGGAGAGGAGGCGGAGGAGGCGGAAGAGGAGGCUAGGGUUUUUCUACUGUCGAGCGCAAGUUAAACCCGACAACUUUAGCCGACGAAAUUAUUAUUUCUUCGGCUAAAGCUAAGAAUCUCGUCGGCUAAACCUUCAAAAUUCGUCGGCUAAACCUUUGAAAUUCGUCGGCUAACCUUUGAAAUUCAUCAGCUAAAGUACUUUUAUACAUUUGGCACAUUGUGAUUGUGAUGAUCAAACUUGAGAAACAGAAAUCCGACCUUCAUAUCUGACCAUGACAAAAUACAUGUAUGGGCAAAAAUUCAACUUGAUCCGACAAGAAUAAGGGCUCGAUCCGGACGGUCAAUCUCGUAAGUCAAACCCCUAAACGCACGAAAAAGGUCGUUCGACCGUCUAAAUUACGUAUUUUGCCCGGACCUUCAACUGAAAAUAGUUUUAAAUCGAUGACACACAACAAGUCGUAUAAAAAUUUUACGCAAAAUAACCACCAAAGAUAGGGCUACUCAUAGGGGGAAAGAAUGAAAAAUUGUAUUGACCGCAACUAUCGGCACCGAAUAUUUACCGGAAUAGUGUGAUUUUUCAACCGUGGAUGUAUUUCAACAUUCUCGUCAUAUCUUAUUUCACGACUUUUUGGUGUUUGAAGGUUUUACGUAUAGUUUGUUUUUGAAAAGGAACAUUUACAUAACACUUGGUAAACAAGUUAUACAACAUUAGUAGACAUGUUGUGAUUGUGAUGAUCCAACUUGAGAAACAGAAAUCCUACCGUCAGAUCUGACCAUCAUGACAAAAUACAUGUAUGGGAAAAAAUUCAACUUGAUCCGACAAGGUUAAGAGCUCGAUCCGGACAAUCAAUCCCGUAAGUCAAACCCCUAAACGCACGGAAAAGGUCGUUCGACCGUCUAAAUUACGUAUUUUGGCCGGACCUCCAACUGAAAAUAGUUUCAAACCGAUGAGACGCAAGAAGUCGUCUAAAAAUUUGACGGAAAAUAACCACCGAAGAUAGGGCUAUAGUAUGUAAUAGAAAAAUUUUAGGUUUAGCCGACGAAUACCCUAACAUAUUCGUCGGCUAUAGUAUGUAAUUAAAAAAUUAAAAANNNNNNNNNNNNNNNNNNNNNNNNNNNNNNNNNNNNNNNNNNNNNNNNNNCAAAAUCAUUAAAACUAAAUCAAACUUUUGAAAGUCUUAACGAUCACCAAAUCAUAUGAAAUUUUGUAGAGGUGAUCUACUCAUAUAGACCUAAGAUAUGAACGGUAGAGAUGUAAAAAUUCAAUUGGGAAGUGGUGUAAUGCCCUAUCCCUAGAAAGUGGCCAAAAAUAGGGAUCCCUCAAUGGAAGGGGGCUGAUUUAUACAUACAAGAGUUCUACUAACUUUUAUCAGUAUUGUUGCAAAAAUAAAUAUUUCAUUUUGGAGUUUUUUUUUUGAAUAUUUUUGCUAAAGUAAAUUGUUCGAUCUAUUUGUAUUUGAUAACCUCAAAAAAUAAUUUUUUUGCUAAAGUAAAUAUAAAAAAUGAUACAUUUAUUAAAAUGAUGAAAAUGCCCUCAAAAUUAAACGGUGUGUGGUUAAGGUAUUAAAAUGCUAACGGAAUGAAAUUUCAGGUAUGAAAAUAUAAGUUUUUGAUAGUUAGGUAUGAAAAUGAAAAUAACAUCAUAGUUCGGAUUAUGUUUUGUAAUUAAUCUCUCUCUGCCUUCCACUCAAACCCUUCAAAUGAAAAUAACAUCAUAGUUCGGGAAUCAAAAUACAAUUUUUUGAUAGUUAGAUAUGAAAAUAUAAAUAAAAAUAGCUUCGGGUGGUGUUUUGUAAUUAAUCUCUCUCUGCCUUUUACCCAAACCCAUCAAAUGGAUCCCCUAUCCCACGGCUUCCCUCCUCUCAAAAGAUCAAGAAGUAAAAUAUCGAUGAUCAUUAAAAUUUCGAUGGUUCAAAAAAAUGAAAUCUCGAUGGAAUAUCGAGAUAAUAUCGAAUAUCGAUGAAAAUUUUACUAAAUUUUAUCUAAAAGUUGUAUAUUUCACAAAAAAUUGACUAAAUGUAAAAUAUCGAAAAGAUAUAAAAAUGAAUAUCGGUAAUUAUAAAAAACAGAAAUUUUGAAGAAAUAUCGAGGAUAUUUCGGAUAUUUUACUCCUUGCAAAAAUUCAGACUUACGCAGCAACACAUACACAACCACCACUGAAGACGUCGUUUCGCCCAUUCUUCCGGCGAAGAAGCGAAAGGAGACUAGAGACCAACCCAUUCCCCCUGACCCAACUCCCGCCGCCUUCGCCGUCAACACCUAUUCGUUGCCGGCGAAGAAGCGUAUCUGGGCGCUUCCGCCGGAUUUAGUAACCCCCGAGAAGCCGGUUCCGGAGUUGGAUUUGAAUCAUGAGUACAAGGCGGAGGCGGAGGCUGCCACGGAGAAAGUUGAAGAAUGCACGGAAGGUGUUUGUGAAAAUGCCUCAGAGAAGAGCCCGGAAGAUUCGGGCGUCGAGGAGGAGUGUGAUGAUGAAGAUGAGGAUGGGAUUGUUUGUAAUGUUUGUAAGAGCUCAGAUGGAGAUCCGUCGGAUCCGAUUGUGUUCUGUGACAGGUGUGAUCUGAUGGUUCAUGCCACCUGCUAUGGUAAUCCCCUUGUGAAGGGUAUUCCAGAGGGAGAUUGGUUCUUCUCGCAAUGCUCUGGUUCUUCUGAGGCUUCGCGGGGUGAUGAGUCUUUGAAUUGCUGUCUUUGCCCCGGCAAAGGUGGGGCAAUGAAACCGACUGGAGAUGGGCGGUGGGCGCAUAUUGUGUGCGCGCUUUAUGUUCCUGAGGUGUUCUUUAAGGACCCGGAAGGCCGAGAGGGGAUUGACUGCUCCAAGGUUCCCAAGAGGAGGUGGAAAGAGAGGUGUUAUGUUUGCAAGAGCGAAAGCGGGUGUGCUAUUCAGUGUUCGGAGAUCAAAUGCCCUUUGGCGUUUCAUGCGACUUGUGGGUUGAAUGAAGAUCUUUGUAUAGAGUACAGGGAAGGAAGGAAGGGUGAUAUUGUAGCUGGGUUUUGUAGAACCCACACUGAUCUGUGGGAAAAGGUAAACUUUUUGUUUGUAAUCACUACUUGUUCUCCUGGUUUUGCAUUAGAAUUUAGCUUAGUGUUAUUAUGUGUUGAUGGGGUUUUGCUAAAUGAGUUUUGUUCUACUUGCAGCAACAAGAAUCUGGGAAGUUCAAGAUUGUGGCUAGAAAGGACUAAAGUGCAUAAGAAGUAGUUAGAUGGUGAUGGAUUAACUAUAGGUCUUUGUGGGAUGGUAUGCAUGGACCUGCUGGUUAGUGUUUGAUCAUUGUUUUCGUUUUUGUGGAAUUACUGGUUGCUUUUGUUUUUAGAUAUUUCAUUUUUGAAAUAGGUAUUACCUUGUUUUGGUUCCUGUUAAGACUUUAGCUUUGAGCUGAUCUUAAUGAUACAGUAAUUCAAUUUAUGUAGUAAGAAUGUGUUCUCACCAUCAAUUUACAACCAGUGUCAAUUUCUCCCUCCAAAUAAUAAGGCAUUUGAUCUGCACUUUUGCUUGUGAGGUUAUACUUCAAUCAGUGUAUUCCUCUGGCUGGGUUCUUGUCAUCAGUGGGAGAUUGAAUACUUGGUAUAAGCUUUUUGAAUACAUUUUUUAGAUGAAAAAUUAAAUUUUCUGUGAAAUUGUUUUGGCUAUGAGUUCAUAGUGGGAGUCUGAGAAGCUUGUUUUGGUCUACUUGUAAUUUUAUUUGGUUUGGGAAUUUGGGGAGCACUACCCCUUCUUAGUUCUUACUGACUGCUUAGUUCACCAUUAGGUAGUAGAUAGAAGAUAAAAAAAAAAGGCAUUCUUCAAUUUUUGAACCGUGUACCUGGUAUGAUUGAUUAUAAUCAUUCAUUAAUUUGUGACCAUGAUGCAUAAAUAAACCUGAAAGGUUGGUGGAACCUCUUGAUGCAUAUCAUUUGUAUUUGAUCAACUUAUGAUUCUUUGUUUGUAGGCAGUAAUCACUAAAAGUCUAAAACCAUGGAUAUAUAACAAAAUAAGUGAUAACAUUAAAAUCAAAACAUGCUAUUAAAAUAACAUUAAAUUUGACACAAAUUUUGACACCGUUUAUUCGUCAUUAGAUUUUAAAAUAAUGAACGGUCAAGAUCAAUUUCAAAUAUAAUGUCAACAAAUAACUAAUUGAGAUGACAAGUGACGUGGCAUUAUCUAAUUUCAUAACAAAUCAAAUAAAAAAAUCAGAUUAAAAUCUAGAAACCAAAAUUUAGUUUGUACGAUUAAAAGAAAAAGAAAAAGAAGAUGGCCGAUCAAAAACAAAGAAAAAAGAGGAAGAACAACAGAAGACCAAAGAAGAACACAGACGAAAGAAAAAAGCACAGCCGAUAGAAAGAAGAAAUUAAAGACUACCAUGCCUACAGUAUAAAUGGUUGGCUUAAUUAUUGUCUAAUACUCUAAUCCCUUCAAAUGAUAUUAUACUUUCUAUAGUGCAGCUAGUAGGAGGUGGUUGAAGAGUGAUUGAAUCGUUUUCAUACCCAUAUUCCAUCACUCUCUCCAUACNNNNNNNNNNNNNNNNNNNNGAGGAAGGAAAAAAUCAAUAUAAAGGUAACUUUAUCCUCAUCUGAAUCAUUUUCUUCUAAAUUUUCCUACUCUGAAAUCUUGUACGGCUCUUGCAUAUCGUUUGCUCCUCGUUUUUUCUUCUUUUCUUUCGUCUAUGUUCUUCUUUGGUCUUUUGUUGUUCUUCGUCUUUUUUCUUUGUUUUUGAUCGGCCAUCUUCUUUUUCUUUUUCUUUUAAUUGUACAAACUAGAUUUUGGUUUGUAGAUUUUAAUAUGAUUUUUUUAUUUGAUUUGUUAUGAAAUUAUAUAAUGCCACAUCACUUGCCAUCUCAAUUAAUUAUUUGUUGACAUCAUAUUUGAAAUUAAUCUUGACCGUUCAUUGUUUUAAAAUCUAAUGGCUAAUAAACGGUGUCAAAAUUUGUGUCAAAUUUGAUGUCCCUUGAACCGGACUCUUUUAGGGUAAUAUAUAGAACAUGCAAAGUACAAUUUUUGUAGUUGAUUAAACAGAGGAAAUAAAGAUUGAAACUAAGUGGCUUUUGUAAUUGAUUAAUCAAAUUAUCCAAGUUUGGGGAUGAAGAACCAUGUGGAUCAGUGACUUCUUCAGCUAGUUUGUUUUCACUGCAAGGCCUUGUUUUUCAUCUUCUUACCCUUAUCUCCCUCCAUAAGCUCCUUGACAAUGUUCUCUACAUUGUCUCUCUUGACAUAAGUACUGAUCUCAAUGCCAAUGCCCAACUGGUUGCAAGUGUAGUUACUUUCUUUUUUGCUGGUCUGAAAAUAAUGGCUAGUGCAUCAUAGGUACUCUAGCUGUAAGACACUAAAGACUUAAUGGUUGAACUCCAACCACUGUGACUCAAAAACUGUCAGGAUCUACCUCGAAUUUCACUCUGAAACCCGAAUUAAAUCUUGCGGGGUCCAUCUCGAAGGAGCAUUUACCGAAAAUUUGGCAUAAUCUGCCUUGAAAAUAGGCAACGUUUACCUAAAAAAUUCCAGAUAAACACUUAAAUUAUAAAUCAUUUAUCCUCAACUCCUGAAGCCAUCUUGCUUCCCAAGUUUAUCACAUCUCCCUAAAUCCAACAAGCCUUAAUCAACUAAUAAUUAUCACAAAUGGUUAUCAGAGCAUAUCUAUAAUGAAAGAAAAACAAUGAAUAAAGAAUAAGCGGAAGCAACCUUUGAUUAUGUCUCGACUCCAUGUACGCUCGACCUCAUUUAAACUUAGCCUGCAAACUGGGCCUUUAAAACCAAAGGACCCAGGGGAAAGUAAUUUAAAAACGUUAGAGUGAGUAGACAAAAAUAAAUUAAACAAUUUAACAAAUACGUAAUUUAAAUACUUUCCCACGUUUCAAAUUUAAAACUUAGCUGCACGCAACUUUGAUAAACCAUAUAACUUAAAAUCCAGAAUCGCAUAAGAAUGGACAAACCAGCCUUGCUGGUUAAAUAGAUAAAGAAAUCUCGUAAAAAGAGAUAAACCAGCCCCGCUGGUUAAUCAAAUACAUAACUAAGAAAAAAAUAAAAUAAGAGGAAUAGUUGUCACCAUGUAAGAGGAGCUUCCAAGGCUCGGGUCGGUGCCUCCUAGACUAUAGUAGUGUUCCAUGUUAUGUAACGCUCCGUACCCAAUUUUACUUAUUGAUUGGGUACUCUACGAGUUACUGAGGAAUUUAACCGUACUCGGUAACCUAGUAAGGUAACACAAGUUUAUUUUUCGAGUUUUUCUUAAAAUGUUAAAUUCUUCUUUUAAUGCCUCGAUGUCGUAUAGGGAUGGCAAUAAUCCCUAGCGGGUAAGGUACCCACGGGUAUUCGACCCUAACGGGGAAGAUACACGGGUAUAAACGGGUAACGAGGAUGGGGAUCCUUAGUAUUCGGAUUCUUAAAUCGGGUACGGGGCGGGUAUGAUAUUUUGAUAUUCGUCCUCAUCCCCACCCAUUAAGGAUGAAAAUAUUAUUAUAUAUAAUUAUAUAAUAUCAGGGCCCUUCCAAUGAGGGAUCCCUAUUUUAAGCCAUUUAUAGGGAUAGGGCAUUACACCAACUUCCCGAUUAUAAUUUUACAUCUCCACCGUUCAUAUCUUAGGUCUAUAUGAGUAGAUCACCUCUAUAAAAUUUCAUAUGAUUUGGUGAUCGUUAAGGCUUUCAAAAGUUCAAUUUAGUUUUAAUGACCUUCAACGGUNNNNNNNNNNNNNNNNNNNNCUGUAUAUAAUAUAUUAUAUAUAUAUAUAUAUAUAUAUAUUCUCUUAAUAAACAUUUAAUUGACCUUCUUUUUUAUUAUAUAUUUUUAUUCUCUUAAUAAAAUUUACCGGUAUUGCUCUGUUUUAACCAAGACUUGUAUUUAUUUUUAUUGGAUUGAAGCAUGAAACUUAUUUAUUUUUGGUAUUUGAUUUUAAUUUCAUACUUUUAUAUAAUUGUAUUUCGUAUUUAAUAAAAUUAAUUUAAUACAUAAUUGUUAAUGGGUACGGGUACGGGUAUGGAAACGUAAUCCCCAAAGGGUACGGGUACGGGUACGGGGAAUCCCAUUAUCUAAUUACGGGUACAGAGACGGGUACAGGGAUGAGAAAUGUAAAAGGGUAUGGGUACGGUAUUUUGAUCCUCGUACCCUACCCUACCCAUUGCCAUCCCUAAUGUCGUAACAUGCGACAUUACGAGUCCACCAAUGUCCUCGAAUUAUUUUUGGGAGCUUCGAACUAUUUUCUACGAUUUAUCAAAGAAUCUGGGUCGUUGAUCUUUAAUCAUUGAUCACCUACUGUCCAUUUCUUUUGUUAAAUAGGGAAAGACUGGUCAGACCCAGUCAAAGAACCCAACUCGGGUUUGACCGAGCCCAACCGAGUCCAUCUCCUUCUCUCUCUUUUCUCCCGCCCGUCGUCCGCCUUCUCCGACGCAGCUGCGACGACUCCGGCCACCUCCCACCGCAAAACCACUACCAAAUCACUCCUCUCUUUCUCCUCUAUCUAACCCAGUCCAUGAAACUCACGUGCAGUUCGAUCCACAGCCAAAUCGAGGGAGAGAAGCCUAGCUUGACUGUUUCCGGCGAGUCCUCAAGUUUCCGGCCACAACUUGAUGAGUAGAUGGUAGGGUUAGCUUCCUCACUUCCUUCCUCACAUUCAAGUGUCUUUCUUUUCUUGAAUCGAGCUCCAAAUUGGAAAUCCCUAAUUCUGCCUUUUCUAGUUUUUGAUCGUGGUUUUCCGGUGACGGGUUCCGGGAGCUCCACCGAGUCCUACGAUCUUCGUAUGAGGCUUAGACGUCGUUUGGAGGAGUUGUUGGAGCAGCUACGUUGAUUUGGGAUCGAGGCAGAAGCUUAGGAUGCUGCUGAUGUGGUAUUGGAGGCGUUGGUGAGCUCGGGUACUGUUGAAGGCCACGAUGAGCAGCAGCGGUUUAGGCUAAGAGUGAACUCAGUUCGGUGAGGUUUAUAGCAAGGUUAGGAAUCUCUAGAUUUCUACUCGGUUUGGUGAUUGAAAUGUUACUGUGUUUUGUGGUAUGGUAGAUUGGUGAUUAGUCUUGGGUUUUGGUUGCAUGAAUGUCGAGAACUUGGUGCUUUGAAGAAUACGGGGAGGCUAUGGCAAUUUUCCGGCAAGUGGCCGGAAUCCGACAGAAUAUUCCGACAAGUCGCCGGAAUCCGGUGAAGACAGUUAUUCCGGCAGAAGCGAUGGAGGUAGUGAUUGAUGUUUCCUUUUCGUUUUAUGUCAUUUCGGAAAUAGGAAAGUUUGGGUUGUAAUCGGAAAAAUUACCAAAUUAUGAAAAUUUCUAUUUUGGGAAACUUACCGUUUUUGGAAACCUUCUAUUAUGGAAACCUUUUUUGGGUACCCUUAGUAAUUUGGUGGUUUUACAGUUUAAGGUGGUUGUACGUUUUGAGUUAACGAAAUUACAUUAGUUUGAUUAAUCAAAAUCAAGGGUCACCAAAAUGAAUUUUUAAGUGAGGCCUAAGUGUCUACCGGUUAGUAGGACGUAUAGUGGAAAAUGUCUCGGAUCGUUAACUCAAAGGUUAAAUUGGAAAAUGUUGUUCAUCGUUAGUUGGUCAAUCCUUGUCAACCUAGGAAACCCUAGUCAAACUAGGAAAGAAGACAAGGAAAUGGUUAUUUUAAAGUUCGGUCUGACCGAUUUGUCUUACAGCUUAUAGUCAGGCGUGGGAUUGACUCAAGGACAUGGAUAUUUGGAGGCGGCGCUAGAGGAGUGUUCCGAGUAAUGGAAAGAUUAAGGCCUAGUUUGGUACAGCUUCGCUUUUAAAAAAAUCAGCUUCUAGGUUGGCUUUUAAUUUUUAUAGUGUUUGGUAACUUGAAAAAAACUGCUUUUCCUAAAAUUUCUGGGUCGCCCGUAGCAGCUUUUAAAAGCAAUCCAAAGGUUCCUUUUGGAAGCUGCUUUCACUCAAAACACAAAAAAAAUUACUUUUUUUUAUUUUUAUAAAAUCUCAGUAACACCCUUAUCUAUUAAGAAUAGAUAUGUUCUUAUCGUACAGAAACAAUAGGCGCCAAGAGCAAUGGAAAUACGCGCCAUGAGCAAUGGAAAUACGCGCCAAAGCAGACGGGAUACUCGCCAAUAACAGAGGCCUUCCAUACCAGGUUACUUCUUAACCCUAAUCCUAUAUAUAUAUAUAUAUACAUAUGUUCUCAUCGUAAAAUUGAAGAACACUGGGCACCAAAAAAGACUCCAGUGACGGCUACUGUAGGUAAUAUCAAUCGUGUUUCUUAACUGUUUCGUUCUAUUCGAUCUAUUCUUAUUUGUUUCGUGUUUUUCUAUUACUUCCCUUGAUCGAAGUAUAUAAUCAUGGCAUCAAUCUUGUGAUAAUAAGAAUCGGUUUUUCUGAAAAUGAAAUUGGUUUCAAUAUAGGGUUUAUUGAAGUUGCCAAAUUAUUGAUCUAAGUUGCCAAUCAUGAUCGAUCGUGUUAUUAUACUUCUUUUGCUUUCAGUACUUAUUGUUCAUAUAUAAUCUGAAAACAGACUUAUUUGAGCUUUGCUAGACAAAUUGAAAUGGCCCAUGAUGCUAUAUAUUAUUGCUUUCAGUAUAUAUAGUUCAUAUGAAGUCGUGAUUCUUUCUGCAAGUAGUUUUGAUUGCUAAAGAGGAGUCUAGAGGCAUCUGGGCAUUGAAAAGAAUUGCUUGUUCAUCUUUGCUAAUACUUUUAAUUUAUUUGCUUAUACUUGUCCAUGCUUUUUUGUUUUGCAAUCAUAGUAUUUCUGUGCAUUUUCUGUAAUGUUCAAAGGCCAUAACUCGUAAUUUUGGGAUUUUACAGAUUACUGGGGAUAGUAAUAGCCCUUAUGCCAGUGAUUCACAGGUAUAGGGAACUCAUAUUUUUCAUGUUUCAUCUCUAUGAAUCUACUCUAAAUUCUGGUAACAAUGGUUUAUUUGCAGUAAAGAAAACUUUGCAAAGGGCAAUUUGAGUUGUUCAUAUCUUUUCAGGGACAUCAUUCUGAAUAAAUAAAUAAAUAAACAAAUAGGGGGGAGAUGUUAAUGGAAAACCAUUAGUGUAAGAAGACACUUUACUAAUGAAUGGAAUUAUUUUAGUUUCUCUUCUACAUCCGUUUCUAGAUUGUCCUGCUAUGCAACAUGUUUAGAAUUAUUUUACUUUGCUUGUGUCUAUCAUUAUUAUCACUGAUGUGAAAUGAAUGGCUAAGACUCUUUUGCAUUGUGAUGUGAUAUUGCUUGAUAUUCAAUAUCACUUUACCAAUAUUGCUUGAUAUUCAAUAUGUUAUAUCUUAUGUUCACUUGUGCUAUGUUAUUAACUGUCAUCAUUUAGUCAUCUUUAUUUUUGGGUUUACAUUGAGAACAGAGAUGGGAAGGAAGAAUUCUAAUGAAAUUGGGGGAAGUGGAUCACAAGUUAAAGCUGUAUGGAAUGAUUAUAAUGUAUCCAAAUUCUGUGAUUUGUGCAUCAACUUGGUGGAUGUUGGACAUCGUCCUAAUACUCAUUUUGACCGAGAAGGAUGGGAGAGUUUGGUAGUAAAUUUCAGUAGAGAGACCGGCAAUAACUAUGAUAAAACUAAAUUGAAGAAUAAGUGGGAUUCACUUAAAUUGAAUGGAAGUUGUGGAAAGACCUAAUUGGCAAGGAAACUGGGUUAGGUUGGAAUCCAAGCAAGGGUACUAUUGAUGCAUCUAUCGAAUGGUAGCAUAGUAAGAUUCAGGUGUGUAAUUUAUUUUGUAGUUUUGUUGUCAGUUAAUUAUAGUAUCCUUGUGUCAUUUGAUAACAUUUCUCUCCAAAUUAGGUCAAUCCUGAUUAUGCAAAAUUCCGUAAGAAAGGUCUUAAUCCAUAAUUGGAGGAAAAGCUAGAUAGAAUGUUUGCAACCAUUACAGCCACUGGUGAACAUGCUUGGGCACCUUGUGGAAAUCUUCCAGCUCCCGUUGCAGACACAUGGAAGGAUGAUGCCAUUUCGCUUGAAGGCAGUGAUGAUUCGGAGGAUUCUAUACUGAUAGGAAUAAAUGGGGGUAAGGAAGGUGUUUCAAAGAGGGGAAAAAAAGAAUGAAAGAAGCUGAAUUACAAGCUCAAGUGGAAAAGAAAUCUAAGGGACCUAUUAAAUUAGGCAAGAAGAAGGUGGGAGGUGCUGCAAAGUUGUUGGAACAAACAGAAUGUUUUAUUGAUGUAGUUGAGAAGGGGAAUGCUGGAAAAUCAAGUAGUGUGAACAACACAGAAGGGUGUACUAUUGCUCAAGUGAUGAAAGCACUUGAGUCUGUCCCUUAUUGUGAGCCUGGGAGUCCUUUGUGGUUGUUUGCAACUCGACUCUUUCUAAAUAAAGAAAAGAGAGAGAUGUUUGUCAUCAUGAAAGAUGAUGUAGUGAAGCUUCAAUGGCUUCAAUAUGAAAAUGCUGAAAAUUAGGGAGGUGUAGAACUGAGUUUUGAAAUAGGUUAAAGAUUUGGUUUAUGUUUUGAAGUUUAGUUUGUUUUGUUAUUUGGAUUGUUGAAUGAUUGAAUAAAUGACUUUAUCUCUGGUUUUCAUUCAUAUAUUAUUUCAUUAGUGGUGGUGUCUUUAUUUUCUGAUAACUAGCUUUGCUCUUUAAUUUGGACCCUUUUGAAUUAUUUUUUCUUCUUUUGCAACUCUAAUUAUUGUUAUCUUUGUCAUGAGUUGUUUUAUUUUAUUUACUAUAUAAAUUCCAAGAUGAUGAUAUUGAUUACACUUGCAGAUCGUGCUAAAGUAUGGAGCCUAUGGAAGCUUUGAGAAAUUCUAUAGCGACAAGUCUAAUGAAUGCAAUGUAGGCAUUGGGCUUUAGCUGUUUGGUUUCUUUAUUUUGUUCUUCUAGUUCUCAUAGAUAUUAAUUUGAUUUUAAAGUUUGGUGAUUUUGGGAUAUUUAUUUCAUGAUCAACUAUUUUUUUUUUUUUUGACAGGUAAAGCCAUAUGGCAAUUUCAUUAAUACUUAAGUCAGAAUGGCACGGAUACAUGUCUUCCCUUACCAAACAAUCGGGCAAGUUAAGGACUUGGCAUGCUAGCAGCACUCAUUACAUAGAUUCCGUUCACUUAUUUCGAGCAGAAAAACAAGAAAUACUAGACACACAAAUGCUUAGGUUCAUAACAAAAGGAAUUACUGUAAAUAGACUAACUAAAUACUUAACAUUAGACUACGACAAAAAAACCUAGCCCAACUUAGAAACCAAAACAACCUUAACAGAAAGCCCAGCGAAAAGCCCAGUUGAGGGUUGACCCGUGCCAGCCACCACCAAAACCACCCUCCCUCGCCGACUGCUGCCCGUCCUGGAUCAUCUCAUCAUCUAUGUCGCUACCUCCAUGAAAUCCCACAGAGUUGCCCAACAAUGUCACCAUCACAGUCUGACAAGAUCCACAACAGCUACACAAACACCAGCAAACUCCAAGCCCGCUGAAUCCUCACCACCAUCACAAUCUGCCCAACCAUCUUAGCCUCACUGUGAGCCACAAGAUCUGGAAAUUUCAGAUGAAGAAAAGCAACUCAGGAAAGCGAUCGGCCAUGCCUUACAAUCCGACUGCCCUGGAAAACCUUUAACCAACAACUCUCACCGGUCCUCCUCUCUCAAGCUGUCGGUCAAAUUUCAAAUCCCGUGCGGUAGCAAAACCAUGAGGCAUCGGCAUGGCCAAGAGGCCAGCCUUGACCUGAGGUCGCCACCGGACAAGAUCGUUUUGCAGAUGAGUUAAGAGCUGCCGCCUCUCUCCUUAGGGUUUUUUUAGAAGAAGGAAAGCACAAACUUAAUCUAUAGUCUACGGGAAAGGAAAAUUAUGAUCAACUAUAUAUUAUUAUUGUAGUGUUUUAUUUAUUAAAAUAAUUAUUUUGUAAUUUAUUUAUCUGUUAAGGAGUAAAAAAUAACUCUUGUCUUUUUUGGUCAUUAAACAGAUCUACAACACUUUUAUUUAGUAUUUACCAAACAGUUUAUGUCUUGACAGCACUUUUAAAAGUAAUAUUUACCAAACAUAAAACUGUUUUUAUUCGCAGCUGAUUAUUUUCACAUCACAGCAGAAUCAAUUUUUUUUUAAAAGUCACAGCAAUACCAAACUAGCCUUAAGCCUAGUACUGUGAGUGGACAUUUUUGGUUUUGAAUUAAUAUGCAUGCAUAAUUUUAUAAGUUGCUCAUUAUAUUUUCCAAGCUUAAAUUGAAAUUUCGGCUUAUGAAAUGGUCUUUGAAUUUAUUUGAUUGUUGAUGCAUUGAUUAAUCUUUGCAAUGAUUUAUAGAAUUUAUUUGAGAUUGACAUAUUGGUUAUAUUUUCGAUAAUGAACUAAUGGAUUUGAGCUUGGGUUAGAGAUUUGGUAUUUGAGUUUUGAUAUUCUUUAUGAUAUCCAGAUUUGCAUAUUGCCUGGUUUUCGAAAGAUAAUAAUUAUUUAAGUUAAUUAUUUGUUUGAGCACUUUAACGUGUGGGACACGUCAUUGAAUUUAAUGAAUUUUUUUGCUCUUUGAAUUCUUUGAGUACGGUUGGGAAUCGUACUUAUGUUUUAGUUAUGAGUUUCGGGGAAACUCAUAUGGAUUUAUGUUUCUUUAUAUAUGCCAUACUUGUCGGAUAAUAUAUUACUAAUGCUAGCAUGUUGUUCCGCCUUUCGAGACGAUGUGGCUUCCACGUUUUAAGUGGGGUUACUCAAGCUCUUUCCGUCUUCGGGUGAUGUGAUGUAGUCGACGACAUCACACAAGCCCUGCACCAUCUUUGUUAUCAUAACGUGAAAGUGUAGGGAGUAUGAGAGUACUUUUGCUUGGGAGGCACCCGAGCCUAAGAGGCUCACUUGUAUGGCUAUAUCUAUUACUUAUUUAUUGUUGUUGUCUUAACUAACGGGGCUAGUCCAUCUUUUUUAUAUUUCUUUUUAUGAAAGUCUUUAUGAAUCUUUGUUGUUGUUUUGACUAGCGGGGCUAGUCCAUUAUUUUGGUACCUUCUUCUAUAAAGGUUAUUAAUUAUCUUUGUCGAUAUUUUGACUAGCGAGGCUAGUCCGUAUUCUCAGGAUUUUCUUUUGAAGGCGUUAUCAACACUUGCAUGCAACGGAUUUAUUGUUUAUUGGAAAGUGGGAAAAUAUAUAAGUUUUGGUUUUGGCUAUCCUAUGUCUUUUUAUUUAUUUAUUUUCGUCCACUCACUCUAACAUGUUUUUAAAUUAUUUUCCCUUGGGCCCUUUGAUUUCGAAUGCUCAGUUUACAGGCUAAGUUUAUUUGAGGUCGAGCGUACAUGGAGUCGAGGCAUAGUCAGAGGCUGCUUCCGCUUAUCAUUUAUUCAUUGUUUUUCUUUCAUUAUUAGAUAUGCUCUGAUAAACAAGUUAGUAAACUUCUUGAUUAGUAUUUGAUAUUUUGGGAGAUGUUGUGAUGAACUUGGGGAGCAGGGAGGCUCCAAGAGUUGAGAAUGAAUGAUUUAUAAUAGAAGUGUUUAUCUGGAAUUUUUCAGGCAAGGGUUGUCUAUUUUCAAGGUGGGUUAUGCUGAAUUUUCGGUAAAUUUUCCUUGAAGGUGGACCCUGCAAGAUUUAUUUCGGGUUUCAAGGUGAAAUUCGGGGUGGGUCUUGUCACGUUAAGUGCUCAACUCACCUAUGGUGAGGACCGCUAAUAAGGCUAGCUAGCAAUAAAUAAUUAUAUCGGAUAUGUGCCUCCCAAGCUAUAGUAGUGUCUUACGUUAAGCGCUCGACUCACUUAUGGUGAGGACCGCUAAUAAAGACUAGCUAGUAAUGAAUAAUAAUGACCCUGGUAUAGUGACUAAAAACAUACGAAAUCACUUAAAUCCAUAAAACUUCCCCAAUAUCAUGCGAAUGGUACGGUUCCCAACCGUAAUUGAAAAUUAUCAUAAGAAAUUAAAAUAAAACUCAAUGACGUGUCUCACACAUUAAAUUAUUCUCAAAACUAUAAUAUAAGCGAGAGUUAAUUAACAAGUAUAAAUCGUAAAUAAUGUCUCAAUCCAAAAUACUCGCUAAAAUAUUCUUGUUUUGGCCACACUAGUAAAUUUGGGCGUGCAAAGUCUUUUUUAGUCGUUGCGGGCGUACCACCGCACGGACGCGGAAUGUAGUGGUUGUAGUAGCGGGGUGCGGUUAGCCUUCUGCUUCUAAUCAAGCAACUGAGGAUGGAGAGAGCACCAACUCCACCGCAGGGUUUUUCAUAUUCGUCUUGCGUACUAGGCAAAGACUUACAGUAGUCCGCCUGAGUGUCACAAUAUCGAUACUCGACGUAGGGUCGACCAGAGCUUCAAUUGGAAAGGAGAGAAAAAAGGACAAAGCUCCGGGGAGCGUACAGGGAAACGAAAGCAAAGCUCCGGGGAGCGUCUGGAGGUUCGACUAGGUCGAGAAUUGUAUUGUAUUUUGUAAUUGUUGAGUUGUUGAGUGUGUGUAGAGAGUCUCCUCAAACUCCUUUAUAUAGAGCUAUUUAGGGCCACAGGUAUUGGCCCAAAACAUGUCAAAGACUUGUAGAAGUCUUCAUCGAUAAAUGUGGCGUAGGCACGUAGACUUGGUUGCCUCUUCAUAUAACUUUGCUAGGUAGGUAACGAGAUAGUGUUUGAACACCUCGUGGAGACUUGGACGUAUGCUACUGGAUGUGCACUCAGCUAUAAUCAAGGAAUAGAAUCCUUAAUCAAUAUAUAAACCUUCUGACCUUCACAUGCGCGCAUGACCAUAUAGUCCUUUAAGCAAUUAAGGAUAUUGCUUUCUUAUCCAAUUGAGGUAUUGUAGGCGGAGUCCGCCUCUUCUUAUGCGAACUACUUGUCUUCGCAAGCAAUCUCCUCGCCUGGCGAGCCGCACACAUAUAGCCCUGUUAUCCAAUCAAACAACCAUGCAGAGCUCGCCUCAUCUAGUCUCCUUUUUGCAUGCGAACUCCUCUUCUUGUUUCUUGGCGAAGUCUCUGCGCGAAGCCGAAUACAACUCAAGGAGAAGACUCCUUAAUUAUGCAUGCUUCCUUGUAUCACUCUUCGCUGCGCCCAGCUCGCCAGCAAUUCAUGUCUCAAUUCUCCAACCAUGCGAGGUCAUUGUACGCGAACUGUAUCCAGCUCGCCCGCCAACUUCAGUCCAUAUAUGAGAAGGCCCAUGCGAACCACAUAUCCAUCUUGCAUAAAAUCGUAAGCGAGGUAACCCGCCUCUAAACCCAAUAGUACUCCGGCUCAUCGGUGGGGACCAUGAAUUUAACUAAUAUUCACAUAGACAAUUAUUGUCCAGUAAAAUAUUAAUUUGGGUGUAAACAUUGCCCCCCAGCCUCGAAGUCAUGAAUGUCAAGAACGACUGAAGAGGUUUAUGUUAAUGCUGCUCCACAGCCACUAGUAUUGGCUCGGCUCAUACAUCAAAGGACUGGGUAACAAGCCUGUGAACAGGCUCUAAAACUCUAAACAUCAAAGCAAUGUAGCGAAGCUGUUGUACGAUUAGCCUAGUACCACAUUAAUCAACUGACGAUCAAUGAAUUUUACAUAGGUACCUUAGCAUUGAAUAAACUUGCGCUUCGCUUGCUCUGCUCUUGAAGACAUGAAACCAUGCAUGCAUCUUGAGUAGAUACUGUCUUCGAAGAGAUGUAACUUGAGUAGAUAUAUCUGAAAAUGAACCGUCUGACCUCCAAAAGAAUGUACCUCGAUUAGAUGUAGCUCGAGUAGACGUCUGCCUUGGAUGGAUAGAAGGCCGCAGGUGUUGGCCUUGUAAAUAUAUGAUCAGACUUUAUGAGUUUGGAUGAACUAGUCUGUCAAAAACAAACUUCGCUGCCCCCCAGUAUGGAUUAAUGAGAGCCAAGCACAAGACACUUUGCUGCCCCCCAGUGCGAACCGAUGAGAGUCAAACAAAAUUUUUUUUUUAGAGGCCACAGGUGUUGGCCUAAAUAAUGACAAAGACAUUUCAAGAAGGGUCUAAAGUCUGAAAUAUCUGGACCACAUAUCUACCCCAACAUGCCCCCCAGUUUUGAUGUCUGUUCGACGAUACUUGAGAAGAAUGAAGGACAAAAAAACUUUAGUAUGCCCCCCAGUAAGGGAGUUGUAGUACUGUGCAUCAUCAAAGUUAGCAAACACCGAAAAAGGUUGUGGAUCGGCCUUGAGUAAAUCCCGAUGUAUGAAUAAAGGUACACAAAACUUAUAUAGAUGCGCCCCCCAGUAAAGGAAAGCAUGCUGCAAGGUCAUGAAAACACAUUGAAAAAGCACAUUGCAAAUUCACGCGUAUCCUGACCUGUCUCAUUCAAACUGCAAUAACUCUCUCUAGGAAUGUCGGAAUGACGAACCGUAAAAUCCUCUAAAAACUAGACAUCUACGGCUUUCUGUUGAUAUAAGGCUCGCCUGCUAGUUCUUCCUAGAUCGUUCCAGUUUAGUCCGCGAAGUAGACUGUCCAGUAGUGGCUAUUGCAACUUUCAGCAUUGCAAUCUAUUGGAAUUUCUUCUCUGACUUGACUUCGCUGGUAGCAAUUCAAGGCAUAUGGAAUGCCUGUUGUAUUGUCUCCAGGCCUCAGGGAUAGGCCUCCAAGUAAACUUUAAGCCUUUUGUAGGCUAAAAUGUUGUCUUGCAUUUCAGCAAAACGAAGAAUCUCUUUUUGUGUUUUCUGCUAUUUGAUUUUUUUUGUAAUUUUCUUUUUUCAAUGCAAGAAAGAAAGAAAAUGAAAGAAAACAGAAGUAAAAGCUGAAGUAAAGCGUAAGGGAAAGAAAAGAAUAUAUCUUGGUUAGUUACCCUUCGUAAGGCCACGGGGGAGGCCACCAAUGCUUCACUCCAAACCUCGACGCCGUUAUGCUUUUGGUAUGAGAUUCUUGUUGUCGAGAAUUUCCAAGUGUGGAGCUGAGAUGUUAUGCGUCAACCACCUGAAAAUUUGAAGAAAGUAGCUCGUAGGGACUGCCUUGUUGCACCCCAAGCAUCUUUGUCAUUUGGCAAAGCAUGAUCUCCAAUUGCAUCCUUAUGGGCAAAAUGGUGGAAAGAUCUGCCUUGUCACCGACUAUCAUGUCAUAAUGCAUGGUCUUAUCAGGUAUAGCCACGCAUUGGUUAUGGAAGAGGACCAUAUCAAGAGCUUCACUGAGAUUGACCUCUUGUGGAAUAUGAUUAUCUGACAGACGCACCAACAUAAAGUCUUCAUCAUAUUCAUCAUAAAUUGCAUCUGUGUCAAAAUCAAAUUUGGAGUCACCAUAGUCCAGUGAAUCCACCUCUGCCUCUGAUGCAGAUAUAUGAAAUCCAUGAGCAUCAUGUUCAUAUGCCGCCAAGUUCCUGCUACACACUAGAGUGAGAUGACACUGAGAAUACUUGACUUUACACCCAUGUAUAAUAAACUUGCAAUUCUGGGUGUAAAAACGUUUCCCACAUACAACACUAAAGCCAUAAUUUGGCCUUUGAAUUUGCAUGCAAAGAUUCCAAUUAUAUUGGAAUGUUAAGCCACGGAUUGGCCUAGGUAUACCACCAUACCAUAUAUAAUUAAGCUUGCCAUGACUUGGGGCAAUUUCCUGAUAACGUCCAGUUAAUUAGACAAAACUUGAAUUGAUCAUGCCCUUGAUCAUGGUGGUUAAUUAAAGAAUGAAGGCGAGCUACGCCUUGCCCCCCAUGCAUCUGACCUGUGUCCAUAUAUACGUCUCGCAUGAGAAAGCUGGCUCCUUGGUCACCUUUCAUGUGAAAUUGUGGUUCACCAUCAUUAGUGUUCGAACCAAUUUCUUCUUCUAAGAUGGACUGUUAUGUCCUAUCUUCAGGCUCCUUUGUCUGAGGAACACCGUCAGUCUUUGAGAUAGGACUAUUAUCCAAAAUCUCGCCAGCCUCGACCUCAAGUUCUUCGUCAUUGAUUGACAAAGUAAUUUCUUCUCUAGACAUAGGUUCGUCCAAAGGAAAGUCUUCGCCAUUAGAUUAGCUGCUAGGCAGUUCAAUCUUUUUGGCAAGGACAUGCUCGUCAACUAUAGACUUUACAUUUUGGCAUUGUAAAGCCUUUUCAUUUUCUUCAGCAGCCUCCCUGGCAGCCCUAUACUCAGCAAGUUGCUUGCGGAUGAUAGCCGCUCGUUCGGCACAUCUCCUCUGGAUGCCAGCCAAUUUCUCGUCCCAAUCAUGCCAAUCUAUUAUCGCAUCUUUGUUUCUAAUAUCUGAUCCCAAUGAAGGUGACGUCAGAGACUACCCUGGUCCCACCCGGUGUGCCAUCUUGGGGGGCACAUUUUCAGGUUGUGUAGACGCAUCCGUGUAAACACCUGUCGCAGGUCUUCAACAUGGGUUGCCUGUGUCUUGGUUUUGACUACCAUGUCAUCGAUAUAGACUUCGAUCAGCUUUCCCAAGAUGUCAUAAAAAAUGAGGUUCAUGGUGCGUUGGUAUGUUGCCCCCGCGUUUUUGAGUCCGAAAGGCAUGACAACAUACUCGAACGCGCUAGCAAAACCAGGGCAGUAGAAGGCCGUCUUGUGUCGAUCUUCUUCAGCAACGGGAAUCUGGUGGUAUCCGGCCGUUCCGUCCAUGAAGGAAAGCACUUCAUGCCCUGCGGCUGCGUCAAUUAGGAGGUCGCCACAGGAAUUGGGUAUAUAUCCUUGAGUGUUGCGUUAUUGAGGUCGCGGUAAUCAACACAUACGCGCAUUUUGUCGUUUUUCUUGCGAACGGAUACAACAUUGGAUAGCCACUUUGCCACGCGAAUGAUACCCGAGCGGUGCAUGUUUUCAAUCUCUUCCUUGACUACGAUUUGGGUCUCAGUCCGCAUGGAUCGGCCAUCUUGUCGGACUUGACGUCGGUUUGGAUAAGUUGGCAACCAGUGACAGACUAAGUUCGGGGACAAGCCAGUCAUUUCUUUGUACUUUUCAGCGAAGCAGUCCAUGUACUCGCAUAAUAGGGUAAGAACGUCUUUUUUUUCUUUAUCCGCCAGCUUAGCACUAAUGGAAAUAAGUAAGGGCUUUUCUACAGUCCCUACAUCAACUUGUGAAAUGGGGUCGCGGACUUAAGGUGGUGUAUCGUCCAAGGCAGCGGGAGCUAGCUGAAUAACUUUCUCCUUGGUAUCGGUGUAGUCCACCACUUCAUCGACAUAUUUCAUAAUCGCGAUCUUGUCGUAGGCUUCGAGUUCCACCCAGUACGAAACUUCAUCGACAUAUUUCAUAAUCGCGAUCUUGUCGUAGGCUUCGAGUUCCACCCAGUACGAAAGGAGUCUUUCGCACAAGGACUCGCCAGCCUCACGUGUCUCCUCUAAGAAGGCACUAUCCAUCAGAAUGGGGUGUGGAAUCCCCAAUGGUGUGAGGACAUUGCAAAUCAUCCUUCGCUUGGGUAAGUCCCCGUCGCUCUAAAUUGGAGGCCGUUACCCCAUAUGGGCGGCCUUUAUAAUCGACGCCUUGAACAUCCAAUGGGCCCAAGUCGGUGUUAUAAUAUCGGGCGUCAUUGAAGUUGGCGGAGAUGGAAAAUGGCCGCAGGUCGGCUUUGAUGAUGACCGCUUCACGUUUCUCGGUGUCCCAAAUCAUGAGUUCUUAGUGCAUGGAGGAAGGCACGCAAAAACUUCUGUGGAUCCAAUCUCGGCCGAGAAUCAUUCUGUAUGAAGAAGAGCACUCGGCCACGAAGAAAGUGUAAACCCGUGAUGCCGGCCCUACCUUGACUCAUAGAAAUAGUAGGCCUAGGGUCCUGGACACCUGCCCGGUGAAGUUCUUGACUGUUAAGGACGUAGUCUGGAUCAUCGAGCGUGGGAUGUCUAGGAGUCCCAUGGUGCGGGUCGUAACGACAUUGACCACGGCACUUGUGUUGACCAUGACUUUGUUGAUUAUCUUCCCUUCGACUUCUACCGUGAUAUACAGUGGCCGCAUGUGAGUGGUCAUGUCUAAGGUUGGUGUCGGAAAUGUCAGAGUUUGCUUAUGUUUGAUGUUGCUCGUAAUCUCCACUUGUGGGGCGUCGUCGGCUGGUGCUGGAGCUAGGCUCAUUUCACUACUACAAGGUAAGGGCGCGUCGGUGACGCUUUCGCUGCUGCUUAGGAUGUCAUCCGCGCUACAGGUCAUGUUCGGCAGCAGUGCGUAUCGCUCAGAUAUGAAGAACACCAUUCCUACCUAAAAAACGAAUGGUUCGCGAAUUGGGAUCAGCGGGGUGUCAAUGACCCCCUGCUCCCCUUCUAGUAUAGCGAAGGCGUCUACUUCGUGGUUAACCCCCUCGUGUUCAACCUAUCCUGAGACCUUUACCAUAUUACAAGUGAAUGAUUCCCCCUGCUCUUAUUCUUGGUCUUCAUCUAGGUUAAUUCGAGGCUCGGAGUGCGCCUCGUCGUCUGCUAAAUUUUCACGGAAACGUUGGGUCAUCUGCUGAGCGUGGUUAGGGCUGGAAGAUGCACUUUCAGCAACUGGUGGUGCAUUAGCCUAUGUCCGUCGUGGGCGCCACACUGCCUUAGUUGAAGGCUGCUGGGCUCCGGUUGAUUGGUUAUUGGUAGCUAAAGGAGCCUUGUCAGUGUCAUCCUUCUUCAACCGUUGCAGGGCUGACACACGGGGAACCAUCCGAGUCUCUGGCUCCAGGGUAGAUUGUGUUCGAGGCCGAAGUGGUUGUGGUGGUUCCCUUUUGGUUUUGGGUUCUGGGUUUUGAGGUUCCCGACGCCGUGAGGGCUGAGGCGGUUCGCGCCUUGGCUCUGGUUCUGGGGUCAUAAACAACUUACGCCUUGGACUAGUAGGUGGUUCCCUUUUCCUCUCCGGCUCUGGUGUGGGUGACGGCUUGCGCCUGGAAGGUUGCGGAUCCAUUUUCCUCUCAGGCUCUGAUGUAGGUGACGGCCUGCACCUGGAAGGUUGCGGAUCCCUUUUCCUCUCAGGCUCCGAUGUAGGUGACGGCCUGCGCCUGGAAGGUUGCGGAUCCUGCCUUGGUGGAACUGUAAGUCGGUAGAAGACGUUUGCUUUAGGUAUAGGCUCGUCUACGAACUGCUCGCACACACCCUUGGGAGUGUGACAGGAGGCAUCUAAAGGAAUGCGCGCAAGCCCUCCGCCUUUCUCCACAUCCGCUCAGGUGUCUAUGCAAGCUGUGAAGGUUGUACAACGCCCUCAUCGACAACUCUUAAGGCCCGCAUGCUACCGUACCGCUUUUGGAGCUUUCGUUUUUUGGACUUGCUGAUGGUAACUGCCUUGCCCCCUUGCUGUGUGUACCAUACCCCAUUCUUGAUUGCUGACUUGGACGUUGGGGGAAUAUAGGGGUCGGUCAAGGUACAUCCGCGAGGGUUGGCAGCUGUGUUUCCUGGACGGUCGCUGCUAGAGUCCGAUAUAUCCAUCUCGCUUGUGGCAGAAGAUGAUGAUUCCUUUUCCGCCCAGUGAGUAUAGACGAACGUCUCAAGGCGCUGUAUCCUCUGCUCCAACUCCUCUCGGGUCCUAGGACUCAUGGGCUGGUAGUUUCCGGUGGGGGAUGGUCUAUCAUCCCUCAUAAUUGCUUUGCCCUUAUCUUUGUAAGGGCAAUCUGGCUCAAGUUUAGCGACCAACUGGCGAGCAGGGUAGUCUGCGUUCCCCUUUUGGUUGGUCGGGACAAUAUAAUUGUUCGUCGACCAUUUAUGGUUUCGGCCUGGCGGUUCACGUAGACCUGCAUUUGGUGACAAGUCCACUGUUAUUUUUCACUGGCCGACUCAAGGCCAAGCAAUGUCGGCUGUUGCGAUCAUGAAAUCGCCCUUACUCUCAAAGUGAAUGUAUCCGAUGUCGAGCCAAUCUUGGACCUGGUCCCUGAGCUGUUGGCAUUCGCGGGUUCUGUGCCCCCAGCUAUUAUGGAACUUACAGUGUAUGCGUCCUUCCUUGUACUCUAUGUAAGGCAAGGAAUUACCCACCGUGACGAGCCCGUCAUUGAUGAGAUCGUCUAAAACCUCGUGAGCAAGGUUGAUGUUAUAGGUAUAUUGGCAGUGUGGCCGGUAGACAUUAUUAUCACCUUCUUCGAGCCCCUUUUAGGUGCCCGGCGUCGGUCCUCAUCUUCCACCUGAUCGGCCCAGUUUACCUCGACCAUGCCAACUAUAGGCGGGAAAGGGUUUACAUCCCCCAACGAGGCUGUACUACCCGGCGUCUUGAGCUUUAGUUCGCCAGAGUUCAGCCAUGUUUGUAACUGGUCUUGGAGCUUAACACAAUCUUUGGUGUCAUGAUUGUAAACAUUAUGGAAGACACAGUACUUCUUAUCCUUCAGCUCUUCCUUGGGCGGGAUCUUGUGAUCCAAGCGCACAUAUUUCACCUCAAUCAAGUCAUUGAAGACCAGAUGGGCGUUCUUUGCGUCAUAGGUAUACGAUUCGUACUUCGGCUUGGUCCAUGCAAAGGACUGGAUUGUGAUUGGCUCGCGCGUCAGCUUCAGGUUCUUUAACUUGUGAGCCAAUGGCUUGCCUGUUAGUUCAACUACUCCAAUAUCCUCAUGGUCUUGAUUCGCAUGAGUUUCCUCGGACCUUUGAUAAUAUGGAUCAUAUGUAGGGGCCUGCAGGCUUAGUGCCCCCACUGUCCUAUUCUUCCCCGGCAUGUGGGUUCCUUUGGAAGUAUUCGCUCUUUCGUCCAUCUCGUUCAGGAUUAGCUCGUAGCUGCCGACCUUGUUAAUCAGGUCACCGAUGGAAGUAAAGCACUCUCCGUGGUGCUUCAACCGCUGGCGGUGUUCCAGGCCUCUAAUAGCCAACUUGAUGGCUUCCUGCUCAGGUAGCAGGUAAUCGCACUUAGCUUGUUGGAUCUUGAAGCGUUGGAGGAAAGAAACUCCAGACUACAUGCUUUGCUGGCUCAUCUGUGUGAGGGAGUCGAGGCCGACUUCUGGCUCAACUGUGCUAUACUUCUCCCGAAAAAGUCUUUCCAUAGUGGACUAGUCUGCUAUUGACCCCAGUUUCAACUUGGAGUACCAAGUGAAAGCAGCUCCGGACAGAGAAGUCCCAAAAAGCUUAAGCUUGAGAAUGUUAUUAUUCCCGUAUUGGCCGCAUUGGACCUUGAAACAGGCCAUAUGCGUUGUUGCAUCCUCCCUUGUCUCCCCAAAGAAAGUCGUGAAGACAAUAUUUUUAAACCCUUGAGGGAAAGGGUAUUGUGUCACGCUAUCAGGUUAGGGGUCACGAUAGUGCAAGUUAGCGUCACAUUUUCUGGUUUGCUCCUUGACUACUAUGCUCGAGAUGAGCUGGCUCCAGUCGGCUACCGUUACUGGUGUAGACUCUACCCCCUCCUCAUGGUUUGGCCAUGUAGAGAAACUAGGAACUUGCCCAACAUUCUUAGGGAUUGGGCUGGAAUGAGCUAUAAAUGGGAAAUCUGGUGUCCCGGCCCCCUGAUAUGGAGAGCUAUCAGCGCCCCUCAGUGUGACUCCAGGGCUGUGCGGAGGAGGUAGAGGUGGUGGUGCCUUUGAAGAACUAGCCCCCAACGCAAAUUAAAGGGUCUUUUGGGCCCCGACCUUUGGAUUUCCCCUAGGGCAUUCGUUAGGUGGAAUGUACCUCGAGCCCUUAGUUGCACCUGCACUAGUUAAGUCCAGGGCAGGAUUCUUUGGUGCUUGAGACCGCAUCCAGUCUUCCACCUGCAGGACCCUUAAGCUCAGAUUAUCAUGUCGUUUUUUGAAGUCUUCAAGCUUUUCCAGGCCAUUCUUACUUCCAAAGAAGGAUGCGUUCUGUUGUUGCUACAGCUUGGUAUCGUGUUCGUCCAAGCGGCGAGUUUGUUCAUCCACGAUUACCCGGGUACGUGUUAAAGUCUCCGUGUUCUGAUUCAAGUCUUUCUGGAUCCUUUGAAGGGAACCGUCCACCAUGUCUUUAUUCUCCCUGACUUGACCAGCAAAGUAGUUGAACUCCUCAUUGAGGCUGGCAAGGUUUUCUUGGUUAGCAAUCCAGAUGACUCUAUCAUUUGUGACAUGUUCAGCUAAAUCUUUGAUGCUUUACUGGGUGGUAUCGACUUUCGAGUUGAGGCAGUCGAACUCUUUCUGCAGUUGGAGGGUCGCCUGGUCGGUAUGAGCCUUCAGGCUCUCGACCAUAGCCGCUAGGUGAGUAUCCACUCUUGGCGCAAUGAUCUGGUGGACUUGGUCCUUAGUGAGAGUGCUAUGGCCAAAGUUACUGGGGGGUGUUGGUCCUACCAUCGUAGGUUCGCUGAAAUCUAGAUUCCCCUUGCGUACUGGGCAAGGACUUACAGUAGUUCACCUGAGCGUCACAAUAUCGAUACUCGACGUAGGGUCGAGCAGAGCUUCAAUUGGAAAGGAGAGGAAAAAGGACAAAGCUCUGGGAAGCGUACAGGGAAACGAAAGCAAAGCUCCAGGGAGCGUCUGGAGAUUCGACUAGGUCGAGAAUUGUAUUGUAUUUUGUAAUUGUUAAGUUGUUGAGUAUGUGUAGAGAGUCUUCUCGAACUCCUUUAUAUAGAGCUAUUUAGGGCCACAUGUAUUAGCCCAAAGCAUGUCAAAGACUUGUAGAAGUCUUCAACGAUAAAUGUGGCGUAGGCACGUAGACUUGGUUGCCUCUUCAUAUAACUCUGCUAGGUAGGUAGCGAGAUAGUGUUUGAACACCUCGUGGAGACUUGGACGUAUGCUACUGGAUGUGUGCACUCAUCUAUAAUCAAGGAAUAGAAUCCUUAAACAAUAUAUAAACCUUCUGACCUUCACAUGCGCGCAUGACCAUAUAGUCCUUUAAGCAAGGAUUUUUGGCACCAACAAUGUCUGAACACUUGGGUGACUGACAAUAUGGUACCCGAACUUACAAAGUUAUCAAAAUGGUACCCAAACUCAAUUUUUAGUAUCUACAUAGUACCCACGGCCGAUUUUUCGUCACGUCAACGUUAACAUUGACCAUAUAGGUGACAUAUGUGUGUUAAAAUAAUGAGGGUAAAAAAGACUUUUGACUCUGACAAACCCUAAAAUGAAUAUAUUGAAAAUUAAAAUAAUAUUCACCAAAAAACUCUCUCUAGUUCUAGCUCUCUUUCUCCAUCUGAAAUAUUAUCUUUUCCCCCAUCUCAAAUCAUACCGGCACUGAGAGUCCAGCACCUAGAACUCUAUAAGGUAGAUCGACGACAGAGAGAAUGGAGGACAAAUAAGUCUUUUUGCCUCAUUUAACAAGUCCGUUGACGGAGAUUAACCACAGGUAUUACGCAGAUACUAAAAAUCGAGUUUAGGUACCAUUUUGAUAACUUUGUAAGUUCGGGUACCAUAUUGUCAGUCACCCAAGUGUUCAGACACUGUUGGUGUAAAAAACCCCUACUUGUCUGCGCAAGCAAUCUCCUCGCCUGGCGAGCCGCACACAUAUAGCCCUCUUAUCCAAUCAAACAACCAUGCAGAGCUCGCCUCAUCUAGUCUCCUUUUUGCAUGCGAACUCCUCUUCUUGUUUCUUGGCGAAGUCUCUACGCGAAGCCGAAUACAACUCAAGGAGAAGACUCCUUAAUUAUGCAUGCUUCCUUGUAUCACUCUUCGCUGCGCCUAGCUCGCCAGCAAUUCAUGUCUCAAUUCUCCAAUCAUGUGAGGUCAUUGUAUGCGAACUGUAUGCAGCUCGCCCGCCAACUUCAGUCCAUAUAUGAGAAGGCCCAUGCGAACCACAUAUCCAGCUUGCAUAAAAUCGUAAGCGAGGUAACCCGCCUCUAAACCCAAUAGUACUCGGGAUCACCGGUGUGGACCAUGAAUUUAGCUAAUAUUCACAUAGACAAUUACUGUCUAGUAAAAUAUUAAUUUAGGUGUAAACAAUUCUGAAAGUCAAGAUCGAUAUUCCACAAAUAAAUGUGAAAAUUAUAAAUAGCGAACUACUGAAAAUCUCAUUUUCGGAAAUCUUUUAUAAAUCUCAAAGUCCACAAAUAAAACAAUCAUAAUGAAAUCCAGAAUUUAUAAAGAAUAUCCAAGGUCAAAUACCAAAUUAUUAAUUCGAGCUCAAAUCCAUAAAUUAUGACCAACAAUCAAUCCAUGUAUCAAACUCAAAAUGAUUUCCAAGAUCAUUUCAUAAGCCGAAGUUAUAAUAUAUGCUUGGAAAAUAAAAUUAUAAAUUAUAAAAUCUUGCAUGCAUAUUUAUUAAAAACCAAAAUGUCCACUCACAAAUUUAGGCAUAAGCCCGACAAUAUCCGAAUCGCCGCUCAAGCGAGGUCCCCUCGUAUCCUGGCACAAUAAAUAUGUGUAGAACCAUUCUUCAAUUUAGGAAAAUAAAUGCUUUAACUUAAGCACCAAAAUCCUUCCACUUAACCCACUAAUCAAGCUAGGGUUAAGCUCAUUAGAUUUUUACCAAACUUCAUCUACAACCUCACUUCAUCGAGUCUAGCACUUUAGGACCAUAACCAAGAAAAUCAAACGGUCAGAUCUAUUCUAUCAACUGUCAAUUUCUCCAAUCUCUGAAAAAUUCCAAACCUAACCAAAACUCCUCCAAAAAUUUCAAACAUCACAUCAUUAAACUCCUCUCAUUAAUACAAACUCAAAAAUAUGCAAAACUACCCCUAAGAGGUGGUGUCGCCGCCUGCCGAACUCCGGCGACCUCCAAUGCUUCCCAAAAUUUAACACAAUAUUUCUCUCAACACGCACAACAACUUCCAUAACUAGCACAAAGUCUAAUUCUAAGGCUAACUAGGAUAAUCGAACCAAAACAACCAAAAAUCCCAAUUCUCAAACCCUAGAAUUUAUGUUAGAAAAUCCUCCUUACACACUUCGAAUUGGUUAAUUACCUUCUAGAGGAUUGCUCCACACUAAGAGCACUUCCAAACGAGACCCAAGUCACUGGUGAUGGCGGCCGGAGGAGUGAGUUCCGACGAAGAGACUCCCACUGCACAGGUGGAGCUUCUGAGUGUGAUUACUCCCUCACUACGGCGCUAGGGUGGUUCCCACCGGUCCAGGAAGAGAGCUGGGACGGUGGCUAACCGAUUGGGACCGGUGCGGCGGUCUGAGAUGACCGGACGGCAGCGGACGGAGGUGGAGUGUCUGGCAGGUCGGGGAGCACACGGGAGAGGAGAGAGAAGGGAGAGAAAAAAAAUGGGCCUGCUACUCCACCCGGUCCAACAACCCAAAAAUAAAAACCCUAUAAAAAUGUACCUUUUUAUUAACUAAGGUUUACCCCUUUUUACCUGAUAACUUUUACAUGCUAACUUCAAUUUUAACAUUACGCAUGUCCACGAAUUCGUAUUAACGUCUUCUACAACUUCCUUAAAGAAAUUUUCCCAAAAUAAUUUUCCUGCAAAAAGUCAACUCUAUGGUCCUUUAAUAGUAAACGGUUAUUUAAAACGGUAAAAAACCAAAGUAAUACCAUAAGUAAACAACCGCAAUUUAACUUAAGAAUCAGGAUGUGACAAAAGCCCUCCAACUGUUGGGUGGUUUAAGACUUGUUUCUGGGGCACCAGCUUGCUACUAGACCUGACCUUGAUUUCAGAUUCAAACUUUGGUGGCAGAGUAGCUAAUUGGCGUUGAAAUUUACGAAACUGCUUGUGGUGGAAUCUUCUUUAACGGAGGUUAAUUAUAUGAAACCCUAUGGAAACUUGUGUUAUUGGAGCAUUAUUAGGGGAACCAAAUUUGCCAACCAUCAUUUUUUUUUUUUUUNNNNNNNNNNNNNNNNNNNNACACACACAGAGAGAGAGAGAGAGAGAGAGAGAGANAGAGAGAGAGGGAGGAGAGAGAGAGAGAGUUGAUUGGUUGGUCAUAGAUAACCACCAAAAUUGAUGGUUGGCAAAUUUGGUUCCAUUAUUAGGCAAACUAUAUCUUUAUGAAACCAUUAAUGUUGGUUCUGUAGGAUGAUCAACAUUACAGUACCUUUAACAAACUUGAGAGCUCCAUAAAGAAAAUGGGGUACCAACUUGUUCAAGACCUUGUCAGUAGGAUCAAAUAAAGCAAGCCUCAAAAAAUGGUGAAUCUUCCGUUGUUGAAUAAUGAACCUGAGCCAUACACAAAACUCACAAGUCACAACCAUGUCAUCAGUCUUUCAAGUAAUUAUACACUUCAAUCAUUGCAUUCCUCUGCACUUGUUCUCAGCCGCAUUGAGAGAUUGAAUACUUGGAAAUGAGCUUUGUGAAUAUUUGGUAUCAUUUGUGUUUGAUCACUCAUGGUUCUAUGGUUUGUAAGCAGUGGUCACUAAACCAUCGAUGUUAUUCUUAAUACAUAGGAUGCCAAGUAAAAUCUUUGCAAGUUAAUUAAACAGAGGAAUACAGUGCCUUUCUUCUUCUUUUUCGAAUACAAAAAAACGAUAACUUUAUUAAGAAACUAUUAACAUGAAAAAGAAACCUGCCAUGAAAUGACCCAUCAAAUUUAGCUCCUUUCACAUAGUACUACACCUUUAUUCAGUGAUUUUUCUUAAUAAGACUUGAUUCACUAAAUUUUCCAAAUUUUUUGAUGAAGAACCAUGCGGAGCAGUGGCUUCCUCUGAAGUUUCUUCCACUCCAGACACUUGCUUCUCAUUUUCUCGCCCUUAUCUCCCUCCAUUAACUCCUUCACAAGCUUCUCCACAUUGUCUCUCUUGACAUCUGUGUCGAUCUCCAUGCCAAUUCCCCAUUCACAGCAACUGUAACUGUUUGUUUGCUGGUCUCCACAGAAUGGCCAACACAGCAUUGGCACUCCAGCUGUAAUACUCUCAAUGGUUGAAUUCCAACCACAGUGUGUUAAAAACCCUCCCACUGAUGGAUGGUUUAGGACUUCUUCUUGGGGGCACCAACUUGCUAUUAGGCCUCUGUCUUUGGUUUCAGCUUCAAACUCUGGUGGCAAGAUUGCUGAUUUUCCGACAACCAAAUCUGGCCUAAUAACCCAGAAGAAAGGAAGCUUGGUAUUCGCAAGUCCCCAACCAAACUCGAGAAGCUGUUCUGGUGUCAAAACCACAAUACUUCCAAAAUUGACAUAAACAAUUGAGUUUGGUGGCUUGCAGUUUAGCCAUUGGAGACAGUCUCUUUCCUCCUUCCAAAGACUGUAUCCCAUAGGUUUCCAAGGGUCUUCUGGUAUUUGAUUUAGCAGCAAUUGGAGAGGACCAAUUGAAUAAAUUGGUGGAGAAAUAGAUGAGGAGAGAGCUUCCAGAGCAUCUUUUUCCAAAGCAUCAAAUGUGAGAAGAAAAACAGCU